ACGGCCUUCGGGUUGUAAACCUCUUUCAGUAGGGAAGAAGCGAAAGUGACGGUACCUGCAGAAGAAGCGCCGGCUAACUACGUGCCAGCAGCCGCGGUAAUACGUAGGGCGCAAGCGUUAUCCGGAAUUAUUGGGCGUAAAGAGCUCGUAGGCGGUUUGUCGCGUCUGCCGUGAAAGUCCGGGGCUCAACUCCGGAUCUGCGGUGGGUACGGGCAGGCUAGAGUGAUGUAGGGGAGACUGGAAUUCCUGGUGUAGCGGUGAAAUGCGCAGAUAUCAGGAGGAACACCGAUGGCGAAGGCAGGUCUCUGGGCAUUAACUGACGCUGAGGAGCGAAAGCAUGGGGAGCGAACAGGAUUAGAUACCCUGGUAGUCCAUGCCGUAAACGUUGGGCACUAGGUGUGGGGGACAUUCCACGUUUUCCGCGCCGUAGCUAACGCAUUAAGUGCCCCGCCUGGGGAGUACGGCCGCAAGGCUAAAACUCAAAGGAAUUGACGGGGGCCCGCACAAGCGGCGGAGCAUGCGGAUUAAUUCGAUGCAACGCGAAGAACCUUACCAAGGCUUGACAUGAACCGGUAACGCCUGGAGACAGGUGCCCCGCUUGCGGUCGGUUUACAGGUGGUGCAUGGUUGUCGUCAGCUCGUGUCGUGAGAUGUUGGGUUAAGUCCCGCAACGAGCGCAACCCUCGUUCUAUGUUGCCAGCACGU
rnacentral:rRNA from 1 species